rnacentral:rRNA from 1 species
AGUGAACGCUGGCGGUAGGCCUAACACAUGCAAGUCGAACGGCAGCACAGUAAGAGCUUGCUCUUACGGGUGGCGAGUGGCGGACGGGUGAGGAAUACAUCGGAAUCUACUUUUCGGGGGGGGUUACUGAGGGAAAAUUACGCAAAUUCCGCAAUCGAUCUACCGGGGAAAAGAGGGGGUAUUUGGACCUUGCCGGUGUGGAAUAGGCCGAGUCGGGUAUAGCUAGUUGGCGGGUUAAAGGCCCACCAAGGCGACGAUCCGUAGCUGGUCUGAGAGGAUGAUCAGCCACACUGGAACUGAGACACGGUCCAGACUCCUACGGGAGGCAGCAGUGGGGAAUAUUGGACAAUGGGCGCAAGCCUGAUCCAGCCAUACCGCGUGGGUGAAGAAGGCCUUCGGGUUGUAAAGCCCUUUUGUUGGGAAAGAAAAGCAGCAGGUUAAUACCCCGCUGUUCUGACGGUACCCAAAGAAUAAGCACCGGCUAACUUCGUG